GGGGUAUGCGCAGGGCGCAGCCAUCCUUUGCAAGGACGGCGGGGUGGGUUCGAGUCCCACAUACUCCA
rnacentral:tRNA from 1 species